UAUUCCUACGGGGGGCAGCAGUGAGGAAUAUUGGUCAAUGGGCGCGAGCCUGAACCAGCCAAGUCGCGUGAGGGAUGACGGCCCUACGGGUUGUAAACCUCUUUUGUCGGGGAGCAAAUUCCGCCACGUGUGGCGGAGUCGAGAGUACCCGAAGAAAAAGCAUCGGCUAACUCCGUGCCAGCAGCCGCGGUAAUACGGAGGAUGCGAGCGUUAUCCGGAUUUAUUGGGUUUAAAGGGUGCGCAGGCGGAAGCGCAAGUCAGCGGUAAAAUUGAGAGGCUCAAUCUCUUCCCGCCGUUGAAACUGC
rnacentral:rRNA from 1 species